GAAGGAUCAUUACCGAGUGCGGGUCCUUCGGGGCCCAACCUCCCACCCGUGUCUACCGUACCGUGUUGCUUUGGCGGGCCCGCCGCAAGGCCGCCGGGGGGGCGUCCCCCCGGCCCGUGCCCGCCGGAGACCCUGUGAACGCUGAUCUGUGAAGGCGUGUCGUCCGAGUCGCGUGAGAAAUCGUGAAAACUUUCAACAACGGAUCUCUUGGUUCCGGCAUCGAUGAAGAACGCAGCGAAAUGCGAUAAGUAAUGUGAAUUGCAGAAUUCCGUGAAUCAUCGAAUCUUUGAACGCACAUUGCGCCCUCUGGUAUUCCGGGGGGCAUGCCUGUCCGAGCGCCAUUGCUGCCCUCAAGCACGGCUUGUGUGUUGGGCCGCCGUCCCCGCCCUCCGCGGGGGGACGGGCCCGAAAGGCAGCGGCGGCGCCGCGUCCGGUCCUCGAGCGUAUGGGGCUCUGUCACCCGCUCUGCAGGCCCGGCCGGCGCCCGCCGAGUCAACCACUUCUUUCCAGGUUGACCUCGGAUCAGGUAGGGAUACCCGCUGAACUUA
rnacentral:rRNA from 1 species